rnacentral:rRNA from 1 species
UACGUAGGGAGCAAGCGUUGUUCGGAUUUACUGGGCGUAAAGGGCGCGUAGGCGGCAAAUUAAGUCAGCUGUGAAAUCUCCGAGCUUAACUCGGAACGGUCAGCUGAUACUGAUCUGCUAGAGUGCGGAAGGGGCAAUCGGAAUUCUUGGUGUAGCGGUGAAAUGCGUAGAUAUCUGGAGGAACACCGGUGGCGAAGGCGGCGUCCUGGACCAACACUGACACUGAAAAGCGAAAGCCAGGGGAGCAAACAGG